rnacentral:snRNA from 1 species
GGAUGUGAUGGUGAUCUGGCUGCAACAUCUGUCACCCCAUUGAUUGCCAGAGUUGAUUCAGCUGGUCUGGCUGGCUAGGCAGGUGUCUCCCUCCUCCCUUGCCACUCCAUGUGUGUCCACCCUGAAGUAGUAUGCUAGGUCUAAAAGGAUGAAGACCUUCCCUGAUAGGGGAGGACCAUUCUUUAGUCCACGUAGCUGCACUCUCCCGCUCUCAAGAAUUGGCACAGCAACUGGACCAAUACAAUCACAUUGCUAUAAAAAUAAGCUUAAACAGAUUUUCAAGUCUAGAAUCAAAUCAUGUU